ACGACUUCGACUUACCCGGAAGUCGUCUGGAUGAACAUAUCUGGAAAAAAACUAAUUUCAUAGUUUCAACCAGUGAGAUAACUUGUUUAGCACACAAAAGUCUUCUCCAAGCACCCAAAAUCUCAAACAAACGUUACCCACCAAGAAUCAUAAGUUUCAAUUGCUCUAUGAACCAUAAAAUUUUUAGAAUCAAAAUCUUGGGUUUUUUUUGGAUGAAUAUGGAGAGAAAGUAAAGAGAUGUUAUUUUUGGUUUAUAAGAAUUGAGAAAGAAAGAGUAUAAAUCGAUUUUUAGGUGUAUUAAGAGCUUUAAAUUGGUUGUUCACGGUGGUUGGUGUAUUAAUGUCAAUGACAAUAUUGUGAAUACUUGAGGAAAAUAAGGGUGAUUGAGUAAAAUAUGCAUUUUCAAAAAAAAAAAGUGAUGGCAUUUUCGUGAAUAAUCUGAACUUUGGGAGUGAAAAAGAAAAGUCAAAGUUCCAGAAAAACAUGGGUUAAUUUUGUGUUUCACUUCAAGUAUUGAGUCAUAUUUGCAAAAAGCCCAAUAAUUAAAUCUACGGUCUACCAUAUAGAUCCUGGCGGUUUGGUCUUGCGAUCUUUAUGCAAUUCGCACUUGCUCUGGAAAAUUUAUUAUGAGUUGUUUGAAGAAUCCCUGAUUUCAUAUGAGACACGGUUAAAUUUUUAAGCUUGCGAAAGUCAAUCAUUUCACAUGGUUAAAGGACAGUGAGGUGGAGCCGAACAAGAAGAAGAGAGGCGGAGAAGGAGAGAAGAUAGAGACGGCGUAAGUUUUAGUUUUAUAUUUUUUUCUUAAAAAAGUUUAUUUUGGUUUAUUUUGAUGUACCGGUUUAAAUUGGUAACCUAUUUUGAUAUAUAUGUAUAUUUUUAAAAAAUAUUUUUUAAAGUUAUGUUUUAACAAUAUAAGUUAAAUAAUAAUAAGAAAAUAUUAUUUAAAAUACUUAAUUGCACGUAAAAAAUGAUAUAGCAUAUCACAAUACUAAAAAUAAAGGAUCAACUUUAAAUCCCAGAAGAAGUACAAUAAAUCCCAAUAUUUAUAGUUUAAUUUCAUAAAAUCCACAAGUAUACUUACAACUUUAAUAUUUUACAUUUUAAUGUUUACUUUACCAAGUAAAAUGAAUAAAAGCAAAAAAAAAAACACACACACAAUAUCAUAGUUUAUGAAAAUGUCCGGCUAGCUAUUGAAAUGGGCAACCAGCUAUACCAGAAAAUGCCUUUUUAGAAUGUUUUCUUCUAAGAGAAUGAGAAAAGUCGCUAGAAGCCAAAUAUAUUUUUGUUCUUUUUUUUUGAAAAAACUAUAUGAGCUUCGAAGAAGUUCUUGAUGUCUACUAUAGACGAUCCACUAUGUAAUUGUAAAAUAUGACGUACCAAUUUUUUAGUGAUAACAAAAUAUCCUAAUUCAGUAACUUAAAUUAGGCUUGCUAAAUAAAAUUUGCAAAAAUCUGUGCUUAUUUGAUUUUUUCCUAACUUGCUUUCAUUAUUUUUUUUAUGUUUUUGUCUAAAUAAUGUCUCUGUUCUAAAAAAAUAUCAAUAUAAGAACUUUAUAUUCAAUUUUAAAGCCCAUUAUUUAUAGUUUAAUUUCAUAAAACCGACAAGUAUACUUAAAACUCUAAUAUUUUACAUUUUAAUGUUUAAUUUUACCAAGUAAAAAUGAAGAAAAGAACAAUAAAAGAAAAACACAUAUCUCAUGGUUUAUUAAUGGACCCUAAACACAUUGAACAAGAAACAAAUAUGUCAAACUCAAUAA